ensembl:lncRNA
CUUGGUUAGCUGUGAAAGAUGAUCAGCAGGUCACAAUCCAUUUCAGAUUUUGCUGUGCCCUGCAGAACUGAUCUGAACACAUGGCAACUUCAGUUUCCCCUGUGGACCUUGCGCUUUGUGAGCUCUUUGGACGAGAGUAGGUUCUCAGGUCCUCUGCAAGUGUGAACUUCUAAUUCUUAAUAGGUCUGUGCAUUAUUUCUUUCAUUUAUGGCUGAGCGAACAGAAGCACACAGAGAUACAAAGACUUGCCUGAGAUUAUGGAACAAAUGAAAUAGGCAUUGCUAAUUGACUGCUUACUCUUUACUGCAUCCCUUGCCCACCCAGCCUGCCUGCCUCAUGGACUGUCUUUCCAGACAGCUGCUGCCCACAGCUCCUUGGGGAGAAGCGGAAAUUCAAGUGCAAAUGGAGGAAAAGAAAAUUGUUUCAGUUCAGCAUCCUCUUAACAUUUAAUUCAAACUUGUGCCAUUGAACCAGCAGUGUCCACAUGAUUUAGUAGAAUCCUGAUCAAACUCACUAUACAGAAAAUAUAUGUACAGUGUAGUACUACUACUGAUGCAUAUUUGGGGAGAAAACUGCAAAUUCAGGGAAAAUCUACACUUAUUUCAACCACACAAGCUGCAGUGACUGCAAUUUGUUUCUUUCUGUCUAUUCAGGGAUUAAAUUGAGAUCAAGCAGCCUGGAACAGCUUGAUGACUCUACCUCUCAACCAUGGAAGGUGCCAGGUGUCCUGCAUUUUGGAUCUGACACCUUAUCGCUGGGAUAACAAUAUACAACUGGUUGCCUCAAGAUGGCUUUUGGCUCUUUUAGGCCCUCCCGCAGACUGAUUUGUGUGAGAGUUGACAGUGAAAUUGGGAAGUAAGCAGAAUGAUAAAGGGUUAGAGCAUGUUCUUUGCAGACAAAUGGGUUUAGGUUCAAAUUCUGCCAGUUAAUAAUGGCAUGACUGGGAACUCCUGGAGUGUAUCUUUCAGGUGAUGAUUAAUCAGCAAAGGAUAGGUGGGUGGUAAUAAUGAUAAUUAUUAGAGCAGCUAUUAUUAAAUGAAUGCUUACUGAGCUAAGGGAUCUCAUUUAAUUUUUACAACAACCCUAGUAGAUAGGCACUACUAAUAAAUGUGUAAUUAAUCAAUGUCAGUUGCUUUCUUCCUUGACUGAGCAAGAAUUUACUGAGUGCUGGUUAUAUUCAGACAUUGUACAAGGUGCUAGUGAUUCAAUAUCAGAUAGGUCAUGAUCCCUUCACUCAGAGAGGC